rnacentral:snoRNA from 13 species
GCGCUCGCUGGGGCGCGGUCCUCUCCGUGUGGUCCCGACCUGCCUUCCGUGAGCAAGAGAAGCAGAACUGGUUUGGGGGUGUCCUGUCCGAGUGGGUGCAGGUCACCACGGUUCCCAGGACGACA